rnacentral:rRNA from 1 species
CUUGACAUCCAGAGAACUUGGCAGAGAUGCCCUGGUGCCUUCGGGAACUCUGAGACAGGUGCUGCAUGGCUGUCGUCAGCUCGUGUUGUGAAAUGUUGGGUUAAGUCCGCAACGAGCGCAACCCCUAUCCUUUGUUGCCAGCGAUUCGGUCGGGAACUCAAAGGAGACUGCCGGUGAUAAACCGGAGGAAGGUGGGGAUGACGUCAAGUCAUCAUGGCCCUUACGAGUAGGGCUACACACGUGCUACAAUGGCGCAUACAAAGAGAAGCGACCUCGCGAGAGCAAGCGGACCUCAUAAAGUGCGUCGUAGUCCGGAUCGGAGUCUGCAACUCGACUCCGUGAAGUCGGAAUCGCUAGUAAUCGUAGAUCAGAAUGCUACGGUGAAUACGUUCCCGGGCCUUGUACACACCGCCCGUCACACCAUGGGAGUGGGUUGCAAAAGAAGUAGAUAGCUUAACCUUCGGGAGGGCGUUUACCACUUUGUGAUUCAUGACUGGGGUGAAGUCGUAACAAGGUAAGCGUAGACGU